AUGAACGCUAGCUACAGGCUUAACACAUGCAAGUCGAGGGGCAGCAUGAACUUAGCUUGCUAAGUUUGAUGGCGACCGGCGCACGGGUGAGUAACACGUAUCCAACCUGCCGAUGACUCGGGGAUAGCCUUUCGAAAGAAAGAUUAAUACCCGAUGGCAUAGUUCUUCCGCAUGGUAGAACUAUUAAAGAAUUUCGGUCAUCGAUGGGGAUGCGUUCCAUUAGGUUGUUGGCGGGGUAACGGCCCACCAAGCCUUCGAUGGAUAGGGGUUCUGAGAGGAAGGUCCCCCACAUUGGAACUGAGACACGGUCCAAACUCCUACGGGAGGCAGCAGUGAGGAAUAUUGGUCAAUGGACGAGAGUCUGAACCAGCCAAGUAGCGUGAAGGAUGACUGCCCUAUGGGUUGUAAACUUCUUUUAUACGGGAAUAAAGUGAGGCACGUGUGCCUUUUUGUAUGUACCGUAUGAAUAAGGAUCGGCUAACUCCGUGCCAGCAGCCGCGGUAAUACGGAGGAUCCGAGCGUUAUCCGGAUUUAUUGGGUUUAAAGGGAGCGUAGGCGGACGCUUAAGUCAGUUGUGAAAGUUUGCGGCUCAACCGUAAAAUUGCAGUUGAUACUGGGUGUCUUGAGUACAGUAGAGGCAGGCGGAAUUCGUGGUGUAGCGGUGAAAUGCUUAGAUAUCACGAAGAACUCCGAUUGCGAAGGCAGCUUGCUGGACUGUAACUGACGCUGAUGCUCGAAAGUGUGGGUAUCAAACAGGAUUAGAUACCCUGGUAGUCCACACAGUAAACGAUGAAUACUCGCUGUUUGCGAUAUACAGUAAGCGGCCAAGCGAAAGCGUUAAGUAUUCCACCUGGGGAGUACGCCGGCAACGGUGAAACUCAAAGGAAUUGACGGGGGCCCGCACAAGCGGAGGAACAUGUGGUUUAAUUCGAUGAUACGCGAGGAACCUUACCCGGGCUUGAAUUGCAACUGAAUGAUGUGGAGACAUGUCAGCCGCAAGGCAGUUGUGAAGGUGCUGCAUGGUUGUCGUCAGCUCGUGUCGUGAGAUGUUGGGUUAAGUCCCGCAACGAGCGCAACCCUUAUUGUUAGUUGCUACGCAAGAGCACUCUAGCGAGACUGCCGUUGACAAAACGGAGGAAGGUGGGGAUGACGUCAAAUCAGCACGGCCCUUACGUCCGGGGCUACACACGUGUUACAAUGGGGGGUACAGAAGGCAGCUACACGGCGACGUGAUGCUAAUCCCGAAAGCCUCUCUCAGUUCGGAUUGGAGUCUGCAACCCGACUCCAUGAAGCUGGAUUCGCUAGUAAUCGCGCAUCAGCCACGGCGCGGUGAAUACGUUCCCGGGCCUUGUACACACCGCCCGUCACACCAUGAGAGUCGGUAACACCCGAAGCCGGUGGCCUAACCGCAAGGAAGGAGCUGUCUAAGGUGGGACUGAUGAUUGGGGUG
rnacentral:rRNA from 1 species